AGUAGCGGCGAGCGAAAAGAAAAUAGUUCAGCACUAAGUCACUUUGUCUUAAUGGCAAAUGUGAGAUGCAGUGUAUGGAAUGUCAAAUUUCUAGUAUGAGAAAUUAACGAUUUAAGUCCUUCUUAAAUGAGGCCAUUCACCCAAAGAGGGUGCCAGGCCCGUAUAACGUUAAUGAUUACUAGAUGGCAUUUCCAAAGAGUCGUGUUGCUUGAUAGUGCAGCACUAAGUGGGUGGUAAACUCCAUCUAAAACUAAAUAUAACCAUGAGACCGAUAGUAAACAAGUACCGUGAGGGAAAGUUGAAAAGAACUCUGAAUAGAGAGUUAAAUAGUACGUGAAACUGCUUAGAGGUUAAGCCCGAUGAACCUGAAUAUCCAUUAUAGAAAAUUCAUCAUUAUGAUUUUAAUAUUUAUAAUAUUAUAAUAAUGGUGUGCAUUUUUUCUAUAAAAGGACAUUGUAAUCUAUUAACAUGCAAAUAUUUAUCAUAAGAUCAAUUGCAAAAGUUUAUUCAAAUUAUUUUGCUUGCAAUUUAACAUAGAAUAAAUGCUUUUGAUUUGAUAAAGUGUUGAUAGAUUUAUUAUAUAUAGUGCUUAAAUAUUUAUAUUUUAUAAUAGCAUAUUAAUCAUUGAUUUUUAUGUUUAUUAUAUGCACUUAUAUGAUUAACAAUGCGAAAGAUUCAGGAUACCUUCGGGACCCGUCUUGAAACACGGACCAAGGAGUCUAACAUAUUUGCAAGUUAUUGGGAAUAAAAACCUAAUAGCGAAAUUAACAUAACUUAUUUAAUGGGAUUAAUUUUUAGCCUAUUUAUAGUCUAUUAAUUCAAUCCCGGGGCGUUCUAUACAGUUAUGUAUAAUAAUAUUUAUAUUAUUUAUACCUCUAACUAGAGCGUACCUUGAGCAUAUAUGCUGUGACCCGAAAGAUGGUGAACUAUACUUGAUCAGGUUGAAGUCA
rnacentral:rRNA from 1 species